rnacentral:rRNA from 1 species
CCUACGGGAGGCAGCAGUAAGGAAUAUUGGUCAAUGGGCGCAAGCCUGAACCAGCCAUGCCGCGUGCAGGAAGACGGCCCUAUGGGUUGUAAACUGCUUUUGAACAAGAGAAAACCUCGGUACGUGUACCGAGCUGAUAGUAUUGUUAGAAUAAGCAUCGGCUAACUUCGUGCCAGCAGCCGCGGUAAGACGAAGGAUGCAAGCGUUAUCCGGAUUCAUUGGGUUUAAAGGGUGCGUAGGCGGCCUGAUAAGUCAGUGGUGAAAUCUCUCAGCUUAACUGAGAAACUGCCAUUGAUACUGUCGGGCUUGAGUACAGAUGAUGUGGGCGGAAUAUGACAUGUAGUGGUGAAAUACUUAGAUAUGUCAUAGAACACCGAUUGCGAAGGCAGCUCACAAAACUGUAACUGACGCUGAGGCACGAAAGUGCGGGGAUCAAACAGGAUUAGAUACCCUGGUAGUCCGCACCGUAAACGAUGAUUACUCGUUGUUGGCAAUAUGACCGUCAGCGACCAAGCGAAAGCGAUAAGAAUCCCACCUGGGGAGUACGCCGGCAACGGUGAAACUCAAAGGAAUUGACGGCNGAGAGNGCGAGACGACACGAGGGAGGAGG